AUUGAACGCUGGCGGCAGGCCUAACACAUGCAAGUCGAGCGGAUGACGGGAGCUUGCUCCUUGAUUCAGCGGCGGACGGGUGAGUAAUGCCUAGGAAUCUGCCUGGUAGUGGGGGACAACGUUUCGAAAGGAACGCUAAUACCGCAUACGUCCUACGGGAGAAAGCAGGGGACCUUCGGGCCUUGCGCUAUCAGAUGAGCCUAGGUCGGAUUAGCUAGUAGGUGAGGUAAUGGCUCACCUAGGCGACGAUCCGUAACUGGGCUGAGAGGAUGAUCAGUAACACGGGAACUGGGACACGGUCCAGACUCCUACGGGAGGCAGCAGUGGGGAAUAUUGGACAAUGGGCGAAAGCCUGAUCCAGCCAUGCCGCGUGUGUGAAGAAGGUCUUCGGAUUGUAAAGCACUUUAAGUUGGGAGGAAGGGCAGUAAGUUAAUACCUUGCUGUUUUGACGUUACCGACAGAAUAAGCACCGGCUAACUCUGUGCCAGCAGCCGCCGCAG
rnacentral:rRNA from 1 species